GAUGAACGCUGGCGGCGUGCCUAAUACAUGCAAGUCGAGCGAAUGGAUUAAGAGCUUGCUCUUAUGGAGUUAGCGGCGGACGGGUGAGUAACACGUGGGUAACCUGCCCAUAAGACUGGGAUAACUCCGGGAAACCGGGGCUAAUACCGGAUAACAUUUUGAACCGCAUGGUUUGAAAUUGAAAGGCGGCUUCGGCUGUCACUUAUGGAUGGACCCGCGUCGCAUUAGCUAGUUGGUGAGGUAACGGCUCACCAAGGCAACGAUGCGUAGCCGACAUGAGAGGGUGAUCGGCCACACUGGGACCGAGACACGGCCCAGACUCCUACGGGAGGCAGCAGUAGGGGAUCGUCCGCAAUGGACGAAAGUCUGUCGGAGCAACGCCGCGUGAGUGAUGAAGGCUUUCGGGUCGUAAAACUCUGUUGUUAGGGAAGAACAAGUGCUAGUUGAAUGAGCUGGCACCUUGACGGUACCUAACCAGAAAGCCACGGCUAACUACGUGCCAGCCGCCGCGGUAA
rnacentral:rRNA from 1 species